GUGAGGAAUAUUGGUCAAUGGGCGCAAGCCUGAACCAGCCAUGCCGCGUGCAGGAAGACGGUCCUAUGGAUUGUAAACUGCUUUUAUUUGGGAAUAAACUCCGGUACGUGUACCGGCCUGAAGGUACCAAAUGAAUAAGCACCGGCUAACUCCGUGCCAGCAGCCGCGGUAAUACAGAGGGUGCAAGCGUUAUCCGGAAUCAUUGGGUUUAAAGGGUCCGCAGGCGGUCUUAUAAGUCAGUGGUGAAAGCCUACAGCUCAACUGUAGAACUGCCAUUGAUACUGUAGGACUUGAAUUCGAUCGAAGUGGGCGGAAUGUGACAUGUAGCGGUGAAAUGCUUAGAUAUGUCACAGAACACCGAUAGCGAAGGCAGCUCACUAGGUCUGGAUUGACGCUCAGGGACGAAAGCGUGGGGAGCAAACAGGAUUAGAAACCCGGGUAGUCC
rnacentral:rRNA from 1 species